GUGUGUGUGUGUGUGUGUGUGUGUGUGAGAUAUAGUAAAAACACUCUGCUGUUCAAAUCUGUAAAACAAUUGUAAGUUGUUUCGCUUAAAGUUUUCAGCUAACGGUUCAAUCACCGCUCCCUUUUACUGCCACCAGCUUUACCACAGUGGCAAAAUUGUGAAUUCAGAAAACACCGUGUGCAGUCAUGUCACCACUGUUACAGAUGCUCAUCAACUCCCGCCUUAUUACUUCCCCGCUUCCUUUCCAGGAAGGCCAUCGCUUCUGUUCUGGUUGCUGUCGGUGGGUCAUCGGUCAUGGAUUUCUGCUCCCUUUGGAGCUCCCGGCAGGCACCGGUGCCAUAAAUAUCCGCCAAUAAAAGAGCACGUGGCACCCGGCACAUGGCCAUUGAUCAGCCAGCAUUGCAGGAGACAGGCAGCGUGGUGUGGAUCUCAGAGGAACCUGCCUCGCAGACACUGGCAGCCCUUCCAACAGAAUAGAUCGUCCUCCUCGGCACCUGCUUGUCCGUGUUUGCUGUAAGAACGUGACGAACUCCAGCGGAACCUGCUGCUGUUAGCGAGCGGACGCAGCUGUCGGUCCUCGUCCCGCUCCGUACCGAGAGCUCCAUCCACGGACGCACCAUGAUGUUCCUUUAACCGCGAUGAGCUGCAUCCUGUUACCUGCUGCUUCCCUUUUCCCUUCCACUGAAGUACCAUUGUUGGCAAAAUUGCCUGAGGUCUCCGAUCGCUGUUGGGAUACAGUUAAGAACGAUGCCUACAGCUGAAUUGCGGCUUGUAAGUAAAGGUGCACUCCUGGCCCGUAAUGGCCCACUUCAGAAGUCCAACAUAUCUUGAAACAAGAGCCUUCCUGCACUUGGGGAAAAUAAUCCAUCUGGUGCUUCUCAACUACCUUCAAAUCUCAGGUGGAAUCUCUUCAGGGAAGAGACGUUCAACACUUGACUGCACAACCAUUCAAAGACCGAUGCAUUGCCGUGCAAAACCGGCACCAUCCACUACCCUGUGAUGCUCUUUGUAGAUGUUUGCAAUCGUAACCACUUCUGACUAGUGAGCAAUUGGUGUUAUUGUCCAGUUUUAACAUUGAAACAAGUCAGCGGUUGAAAAGGACCUCUGCAAACUCACUCUUCCGCUUGGCAAGUUAAAAUGUCUACAUAUAGCAACCAUGGAUGAAAGAGCACUUUCUUACUGACUGGAGCCAAGCUGAGCCUUAUCAGGAUUAUAUUUUUGACUUCUGUUUAAAUAGAGGCCUCAUGGCGUAUAGGGAACACGAAGACCUGUAUCAGUGCUUUGUUUGAAACAUCAAUACUGGUACCUUAUCUGGGCCAGGGCAAGGACAUGAGAAAUGCAAGAUAAGAGGAGAAGAAGGCUAACAAACAGGAAUGUUAAAGACACGCUAGUGGCACGUAGACAGACCGCAGGCAGACUGUGCUCCUGUAGGAGCUCUGGUGUGAAUAAGGCUGGCAGAAGUGGGCCACUGUGGUCCUGUGAGAGUCCUGUCAUCACACAAAGUCCCGCUUGCAUCC
rnacentral:lncRNA from 1 species